rfam:Camelus ferus unplaced genomic scaffold scaffold1397, whole genome shotgun sequence.
GAGGGUAUAGCUCAAGUGGUAGGGCAUGUGCUUAGCAUGCAUGAGGGCCUGGGUUCAAUCUCCAGUACCUCUA